CUCUCUCUCUCUCUCUCUCUCUCUCUCUUCCCCUCUCUCCCUCUCCCUCCCUUCACCAGAAACAGCGAGCCAUUGAUCUGAUCGAGCUUCUGACGAUCGGAUUUCGCAGGUGUGGAUCGACUGGAGUUCGGAUCUGGUCCGUACGCUUAGGGAUUGCAUUCAGUCCAUCCAUAAGCCGAGAAAAGCAGAAGAGAAAAAGCAGUAGUGUGCAUUACAAUAUGUCAAGAUGUUGGCUCCAUCUUCAGUAGAAACUGAAUCAGGUAUCCAUGUGCCUAGGCCCUUCAGUUUUUGGAGAAAGUAGGACAAUCUUGAGCUUUAUUUUUAUUUUUUGAAAAGCAUGAUGUUGGGCUUUAUCUGUUUCUUCUCAGUAGUAGCAAUUUAUUGUGUCAGAGAAACAUCUCUACCAAUAUAGAUUUGAGAGGCUGACUUGUCAUCAACCAUGAAAUCUUGAACAUUGUUAUUUGUGAUUUGGCUCUGGAAAUUGGGCUGUUUGGAUGC